CGAACAUCUUUUCGCUUCUUUUGUGUAUAAUCCUGUUUAAUCUCGAAUUUUAUCAGUUUCGGUGACCAAAUAAUACAACGCAGACAAAAAGUUCCUAGAUUGACAAAGCAAUUUUUAUAAGUAAUGAGAAAUGUUUUAUUGACAAAGCAUAUAGGAAAUAAAAGUGUCAGAUCUCAAUUAUUGCAUCUGCAUCAUGUACAAUGCUGAAUUCGCACCAAAAUGCCAACAAAGAAAUGCAUCUAUGUUUAAGGCUAAGUAUGCAUAUAGGAAAUAAAAGUGUCAGAUCUCAAUUAUUGCAUCUGCAUCAUGUACAAUGCUGAAUUCGCACCAAAAUGCCAACAAAGAAAUGCAUCUAUGUUUAAGGCUAAGUAUGCAUAUAGGAAAUAAAAGUGUCAGAUCUCAAUUAUUGCAUCUGCAUCAUGUACAAUGCUGAAUUCGCACCAAAAUGCCAACAAAGAAAUGCAUCUAUGUUUAAGGCUAAGUAUGCAUAUAGGAAAUAAAAGUGUCAGAUCUCAAUUAUUGCAUCUGCAUCAUGUACAAUGCUGAAUUCGCACCAAAAUGCCAACAAAGAAAUGCAUCUAUGUUUAAGGCUAAGUAUGCAUAUAGGAAAUAAAAGUGUCAGAUCUCAAUUAUUGCAUCUGCAUCAUGUACAAUGCUGAAUUCGCACCAAAAUGCCAACAAAGAAAUGCAUCUAUGUUUAAGGCUAAGUAUGCAUAUAGGAAAAUUCCUCUUUUUGCCUUGAGACUCUUGUUUCUUUCAAUCCAUACAGCACUCCACCAGAUUGUGGUGAGGCAUGCCUCCUUGACCAAGUGGAACAGGAAGCUCUCAAGGGAGCUUUGUUGCAAUAGAUAUCCAUAGCCAUACACAAUUGACAGAAGAUGCAUGCCCUAAGUAAUCAAUGUCAGAUAUGAAUGUUGAUCGUGCUCCAAGAUAACAUUUCAAUGGAAAUCAUCUUUGACUAGUAUGAUGAAUCCUAAAAUUCACCACAGCCGGUCGCACUGACAUUGCUUGAAACAAAAUUGGCAAGAAUGCAAGAUCACUUGACUUUCUCUGGUCACUGCCAUUCACCUUGCCUUCCUGAAAAUUAGCAAGAAUGCCAGCAUAUAAGCAAAUACUGCACUGAUUGGAAGUGCCAAUUUAGAAUUCAAAGCACAAAGAAAUGGGGAACAUACAGCAAGUGUAGCCUUUCUGAAUGACAACAAAACGAUAUGGGCAGCAAGGCACAAAUGACAGUUAUUAUCAGAAGGCAGAAAGUUAAUUAUUACUGGAUCAAUGCCUGACACCUCUGACUUCAAGCACUUUCAACCAAACAGGAUCUUUCUUUCAGAACAACGGAGGAGAAAAUUGAACAGCAGGCUAGUCAUUUUAUUGUGGUUAGCAGACACCCCUUGAUUUGGCUGCUAAAGAUUCUUCUUUCAGGUAACACUAUCAGAAAAAGCAGAUACAGAUAGGCAGAAGUAAACACCAGACUUCUGACUCCAAGCUAUUUCAACCAAAUAGAACCUUGCUUUAACAAUAUCAGACAUGAUAUUACUGACAAUGCUACAGCAAGAUAGAGUUACGCGUUAACGUGAAACCAACUGAUUUUGUUAGAUCCACAUCCUACCCAUGUUCAAGAGUUCAAGGUUCGUAACUGGUUCUAGUUGUUCAGAAUUCAGACCUCGUGGAAGAGCACAGAUCUGCUGAAUAAGGAAAGAACAAACUCAGUAAGAAACUCAUGAUUCUGCUAAUGAAUUCAGACAAAUAAUAAAUCCUCAAUAUAACAAGCUAUAUCUCAACUCACAGUAAAUGCUUGAGUUCCUGCAAAAGUAAAACCAUUUUCAGAAUGCCAUGUAUGAACAAAUUUUAAAAGUGAAUUAAGAGUUAAGACGAGACUAAUGCAACAGGUAUGAAAGAAAAUAGAGCUCUCCCCCAAAACCUGCCAAACAAGUAGGAAGUUAAAGCUAUACAAGUAGGUGAGCUUUAAUGAGCUCACUGAAAAGAGUGUUCUUCAUCUGAUGGGGCAAGUUCCUGUAGGAAAGCAAACAAAGUACUAUAUGUUCCUGUAGGAAAGCAAACAAAGUACUAUAUGUCCACCGAAUGGAUUCCAAUAAACCUCCCAAAGUUAAUCACGGUAAUUAGUAGGCAACCAAAGAAGUCCAGCAACCUAAUAUAGGCAUUUGACACCCCGAAAAAGGAUAAUUGCCACUACUUAAAGUGAUUACACAGUAAAACCAUAUAUAGUUAAGGUUAUACAAAUAGCUGCACUGCAUAUAGUUAAAGCCUCAUGUGGCAUCAACUUGAGCGCACAUCAACGUUUGUAGACAUAAUAUUGUUAUUCCUAAAUAGUUACCAUAAAGCUACAGUCCAUGGGAUUGUCCAAUAUAAGUGCCUCCUACAAAUGGCAAGACAACCAGGUCUGCCAUGUAAAUUAUAAAAUUGUUCUUAUUCCUGUCCCAAAAGGCAGGAAAUUUUAAAACAGACGAAAGGAAGGAAAUUUAUUAUAUCUAGCUCAUGUCCAUUCCAUCUCCAACUUGACUGCAAAUGGGACUGACAGCAGUGAAAGAUCUCUCAAAUGGUGAUGGAUGGAAAUGUGCAUCCCUUCUGCGCUUAAAGGCGCAGCUAUCAGAAGGGGAACUUUCAGCAUCAAACUUCCUCCGUACACCUUUCACAGCCUGCACUUCAGCUGAUGUUAAAGGGAAAAUCUGCUUGCUAACUCUGCAAAGAGAGUUAUGAUUAUCAUACAGUAUUCGCUGGUUACAGUUUUUGUCACAAAUGUGUGUCAUCCCAGUUAGACGGCAGCGGUACAUGUUCCCACAAACAUGUUCAUUUGCACAUUUCCAAUCGCAUUUGUGAACAGGGUUUGGGCCAUCUUGGCCAAGAAUAGUUGAAAGAUAUAUAACAUUUGUAGGCACUGCUACCAUAGAUUUUCCAAGUACCUCCAU
rnacentral:lncRNA from 1 species